ensembl:processed_transcript
UGCAUCAGAUGUGCCAGGUCAGAUUGACAGAUGAAUAAAAGGCACCAGUAUUCCCCUGAGCAGACCACCAAGCAAAUUCAACCCAAAGAUCAGACUGUGUAAUGCUCAGAAAAAGGGUCAACAAACCUAGAAUUUCACAGCAGACCACAGACCACGGUGGAGAUGUUUGAUGAAAGCCAUGGCGCAAGAUGAUACGCUGAGUGGAAAAAUCAGUCCUGUGAUUCACGUCCAACGAAGAACGUAAAUCGCAUCAUACUGAACAACCUCAAGACAUGGCUGCUUUAAAAAUGCAGCAAAUCAUCUGGAAACAUUAGUAGGCAUCAGUAGACAUAAGUGUUCAAGAAGAUGUCCAAAAUACUUGCACCCAAUUACCCAGAGACUGUUUAGACUGCAUGCCACUGAUGAAAAGAGAAAGGGUGUUUACUGUAU